rnacentral:rRNA from 1 species
GAUGAACGCUAGCUACAGGCUUAACACAUGCAAGUCGAGGGGCAGCAUCAUCAAAGCUUGCUUUGAUGGAUGGCGACCGGCGCACGGGUGAGUAACACGUAUCCAACCUGCCGACAACACUGGGAUAGCCUUUCGAAAGAAAGAUUAAUACCGGAUGGCAUAGUUUUCCCACAUGGGAUAAUUAUUAAAGAAUUUCGGUUGUCGAUGGGGAUGCGUUCCAUUAGGCAGUUGGCGGGGUAACGGCCUACCAAACCAACGAUGGAUAGGGGUUCUGAGAGGAAGGUCCCCCACAUUGGAACUGAGACACGGUCCAAACUCCUACGGGAGGCAGCAGUGAGGAAUAUUGGUCAAUGGACGAGAGUCUGACCAGCCAAGUAGCGUGAAGGAUGACUGCCCUAUGG